CCUACGUGAGGCAGCCGUGAGGAAUAUUGGUCAAUGGGCGCUAGCCUGAACCAGCCAAGUAGCGUGAAGGAUGACUGCCCUAUGGGUUGUAAACUUCUUUUAUAUUGGCAUAACGUGCAGUAUGUAUACUGCUUUGCAUGUACCUUAUGAAUAAGGAUCGGCUAACUCCGUGCCAGCAUCCGCGUUAAUACGGAGGAUCCGCGCCUUAUCCGGAUUUAUUGGUUUUUAAGGGAGCGUAGGAGGGUUGUUAAGUCAGUUGUGAAAGUUUGCGGCUCAACCGUAAAAUUGCAUUUGAUAAUGGCAUCCGUGAGUACAGUAGAGGUAGGCGGAAGUCGUGGUGUAGCGGUGAUAUGCUUAGAGAUCACGAAGAACUCCGAUUGCGAAGGCAGACUGCUGGACUGUAACUGACGCUGAUGCGCGAAAGUGUGGGUAUCAAACAGGAGUAGAUACCCUUGUAGUC
rnacentral:rRNA from 1 species